AUUGAACGCUGGCGGCAUGCUUUACACAUGCAAGUCGAACGGUAACAGGCCUUCGGGUGCUGACGAGUGGCGAACGGGUGAGUAAUGCAUCGGAACGUGCCCAGAGGUGGGGGAUAACGCAGCGAAAGCUGUGCUAAUACCGCAUGUGAUCUGAGGAUGAAAGCGGGGGACCAGGCAGCAAUGUUUGGCCUCGCGCCUUUGGAGCGGCCGAUGUCAGAUUAGGUAGUUGGUGGGGUAAAGGCCUACCAAGCCGACGAUCUGAAGCUGGUCUGAGAGGACGACCAGCCACACUGGGACUGAGAAACGGCCCAGACGCCUACGGGAGGCAGCAGUGGGGAAUUUUGGACAAUGGGCGCAAGCCUGAUCCAGCAAUGCCGCGUGCGGGAAGAAGGCCUUCGGGUUGUAAACCGCUUUUGUACGGGACGAAAAGGCUCUGGCUAAUACCUGGGGCUGAUGACGGUACCGUAAGAAUAAGCACCGGCUAACUACGU
rnacentral:rRNA from 1 species